UACGUAGGGUGCGAGCGUUGUCCGGGAUUACUGGGCGUAAAGAGCUCGUAGGUGGUUUGUCGCGUUGUUCGUGAAAACCUGAGGCUUAACCUUGGGCGUGCGGGCGAUACGGGCAGACUGGAGUACUGCAGGGGAGACUGGAAUUCCUGGUGUAGCGGUGGAAUGCGCAGAUAUCAGGAGGAACACCGGUGGCGAAGGCGGGUCUCUGGGCAGUAACUGACGCUGAGGAGCGAAAGCGUGGGGAGCGAACAGG
rnacentral:rRNA from 1 species